UGAAUACGAGAUACUACGGUGUCGAAGCAGUCUAUGUCAUACUUCCAAGAAAAGCUUGCACUGUCAUAACAAAUAAUGCCUGUACCAUAACCGACACAGGUGGGUAGGUAGAGUAUACUAAGGGGCGCGAGAUAACUCUCUCUAAGGAACUCGGCAAAAUGACUCCGUAACUUCGGGAGAAGGAGUGCCUUAUAUUUAUAAGGUUGCAAUAACAAGAUCCAAGCAACUGUUUAUCAAAAACACAGGUCUCCGCUAAGUCGUAAGACGAUGUAUGGGGGCUGACGCCUGCCCAGUGCCAGAAGGUUAAAGAAGUUGGUUAGCUUUUGCGAAGCUGAUAACUGAAGCCCUGGUGAACGGCGGCCGUAACGAUAACGGUCCUAAGGUAGCGAAAUUCCUUGUCGGGUAAGUUCCGACCCGCACGAAAGGCGUAAUGAUUUGGAUACUGUCUCGGAGAGGGACUCGGUGAAAUAGACUUGUCUGUGAAGAGGCGGACUACUUGCACCAGGACAGAAAGACCCUAUGAAGCUUUACUGUAACCUGAAAUUGAAAUUGGACUUUACUUGCGCAGGAUAGGUGGGAGGCUUUGAGAAUAUUCUUGCGGGAAUAUUGGAGCCAUCAGUGAGAUACCACUCUGGUAAUGUUAGAUUUCUAACUUUGUAUCAUUAUCUGGUCAAAGAACAGUUUCAGGCGGGCAGUUUGACUGGGGCGGUCGCCUCCUAAACGGUAACGGAGGCGCACAAAGGUUUCCUCUGAACGGGUAGAAAUCGUAUCUAGAGUGUAAAGGCAUAAGGAAGCUUGACUGUGAGACCUACAAGUCGAGCAGGGACGAAAGUCGGUCUUAGUGAUCUGACGGUGCUGAGUGGAAAGGCCGUCACUCAACGGAUAAAAGUUACUCUAGGAUAACAGGCUGAUCUCCCCCAAGAGCUCACAUCGACGGGGAGGUUUGGCACCUCGAUGUCGGCUCAUCGCAUCCUGGGGCGGUAGUAUGUCCCAAGGGUUGGGCUGUUCGCCCAUGAAAGCGGUACGCGAGCUGGGUUCAGAACGUCGUGAGACAGUUCGGUCCAUAUCCGGUGUAAGCGUUAGAAUAUUGAGAGGAGCCUUCUUUGGUACGAGAGGACCGAGAAGGAUGCACCGCUGGUGUACCAGUUAUUGUGCCAACAGUAAACGCUGGGUAGCUAUGUGUGGAGUGGAUAACCGCUGAAAGCAUCUAAGUGGGAAGCCCACCUCAAGAUAAG
rnacentral:rRNA from 1 species